CUAAUACAUGCAAGUCGAACGAGAUCUUCGGAUCUAGUGGCGCACGGGUGCGUAACGCGUGGGAAUCUGCCCUUGGGUUCGGAAUAACUUCUGGAAACGGAAGCUAAUACCGGAUGAUGACGUAAGUCCAAAGAUUUAUCGCCCAAGGAUGAGCCCGCGUAGGAUUAGCUAGUUGGUGGGGUAAAGGCCCACCAAGGCGACGAUCCUUAGCUGGUCUGGGAGGAUGAUCAGCCACACUGGGACUGAGACACGGCCCAGACUCCUACGGGAGGCAGCAGUAGGGAAUAUUGGACAAUGGGCGAAAGCCUGAUCCAGCAACUGCCGCGUGAGUGAUGAAGGCCUUAGGGUUGUAAAGCUCUUUUACCCGGGAUGAUAAUGACAGUACCGGGAGAAUAAGCUCCGGCUAACUCCGUG
rnacentral:rRNA from 1 species